rnacentral:rRNA from 1 species
AUGAUGCCCACUUGUGGGUGGAUUAGUGGCGAACGGGUGAGUAACACGUGAGUAACCUGCCCUUAACUCUGGGAUAAGCCUGGGAAACUGGGUCUAAUACCGGAUAUGACUCCUCAUCGCAUGGUGGGGGGUGGAAAGCUUUAUUGUGGUUUUGGAUGGACUCGCGGCCUAUCAGCUUGUUGGUGAGGUAAUGGCUCACCAAGGCGACGACGGGUAGCCGGCCUGAGAGGGUGACCGGCCACACUGGGACUGAGACACGGCCCAGACUCCUACGGGAGGCAGCAGUGGGGAAUAUUGCACAAUGGGCGAAAGCCUGAUGCAGCGACGCCGCGUGAGGGAUGACGGCCUUCGGGUUGUAAACCUCUUUCAGUAGGGAAGAAGCGAAAGUGACGGUACCUGCAGAAGAAGCGCCGGCUAACUACGUGCCAGCAGCCGCGGUAAUACGUAGGGCGCAAGCGUUAUCCGGAAUUAUUGGGCGUAAAGAGCUCGUAGGCGGUUUGUCGCGUCUGCCGUGAAAGUCCGGGGCUCAACUCCGGAUCUGCGGUGGGUACGGGCAGACUAGAGUGAUGUAGGGGAGACUGGAAUUCCUGGUGUAGCGGUGAAAUGCGCAGAUAUCAGGAGGA